rnacentral:rRNA from 1 species
UUGAAAGGGAAACGAUUGAAGUCAGUCGUGCUGGCGCGAAAUCAACCUUCUCGUCUUGAGAUCACAUGGCGUGGCGAGCCUCAAAACCGUCACGAAGCGUGAACUCUUGGUGAAAUGGAGCACUUUCGUGUCCGCUGGUUAACAUCAAUUUCGAACGUCAUAAAAAGGCUGGAGGGAUGUGGCUCCUUCGGGAGUGUUAUAACCUUUAGCGGAAUGUGGUGUUCGGGAUUGAGGAUUGCAACGAAUACCUUUAGGGCUGUUCCACCUGGCUUCUCUUUGGUAUCCUGGUGACGACAGCUUGCUGACGUCUUAGGAUUCGCCUUUGAACAGGCUAGAGUGUGAGCAAAUUCGUUAAGGAGGUUGACGUA